AAACCAACUGGGAUUACCUUAGUAACGGCGAGUGAAGCGGUAAAAGCUCAAAUUUGAAAUCUGGUACUUUCAGUGCCCGAGUUGUAAUUUGUAGAAUUUGUCUUUGAUUAGGUCCUUGUCUAUGUUCCUUGGAACAGGACGUCAUAGAGGGUGAGAAUCCCGUUUGGCGAGGAUACCUUUUCUCUGUAAGACUUUUUCGAAGAGUCGAGUUGUUUGGGAAUGCAGCUCAAAGUGGGUGUAAAUUCCAUCUAAAGCUAAAUAUUGGCGAGAGACCGAUAGCGAACAAGUACAGUGAUGGAAAGAUGAAAAGAACUUUGAAAAGAGAGUGAAAAAGUACGUGAAAUUGUUGAAAGGGAAGGGCAUUUGAUCAGACAUGGUGUUUUUGCAUGCACUCGCCUCUCGUGGGCUUGGGCCUCUCAAAAUUUCACUGGGCCAACAUCAAUUCUGGCAGCAGGAUAAAUCAUUAAGAAUGUAGCUACUUCGGUAGUGUUAUAGCUUUUUGGAAUACUGUUAGCCGGGAUU
rnacentral:rRNA from 1 species